rnacentral:rRNA from 1 species
UACGAAGGGGGCUAGCGUUGCUCGGAAUCACUGGGCGUAAAGGGUGCGUAGGCGGGUCUUUAAGUCGGGGGUGAAAUCCUGGAGCUCAACUCCAGAACUGCCUUCGAUACUGGAGAGCUCGAGUCCGGGAGAGGUGAGUGGAACUGCGAGUGUAGAGGUGAAAUUCGUAGAUAUUCGCAAGAACACCAGUGGCGAAGGCGGCUCACUGGCCCGGUACUGACGCUGAGGUGCGAAAGCGUGGGGAGCAAACAGG